CCAGCCCACUGGUGCUCUGAGCCCAGGAACGUGAAUGGAGAGCGAAGAUGAGACAAACACUAGUUUAGCUGCCUGCUCGUUUACUUCCACAGGAAUUAUAAAGCAGACAAUUCUUCAAGGAUAUCGAAAAUGAGCCACGGUCGUAAAUGCAAUGUUCCAGGCUGAAACUUAGGCUACAAAUAAAGCUGAGACUUUCCAGAGUCUUCCCAAGGAUUCAAAAGUUCGAGGGGCAUGGAUAAUGUUUUUCUACCAGAAGAUCCCUGCAAAGUUUGACACUCUGUUAUUAAUUUGCAAAACAUUUCACCGAAGGCAGUUUUCAAAACCUUGUACAGUUAAGCAGGAUUUGCUAAGCUGCUGUUACUGAAACGAGGGGCUGUUCUGACCAUAAGGUCAUCACAACCGCAUGCUGUUUUAUCUAGCAGCCAUGCACUUAAAUGAGAAUGCUGAGUCCCCACAACAGAAGACAGCCAAGGAGAAACUAUGUACAGACUUGCCAAACAAUUUAUCAUCAAAGACCCUCUUCCUUAUUGGGAUGUCGUCCAGCGGAUUCCUGUGCCCCAGAACUUGUGUGCUCAGCUUGACAGACCUUCCAUGGAGGAUGCUGUUGCUGAACAUGUGUCACGGUUAAGUCGAAAAGGGGUCUGAAUCCAACGUACUGCCCUGAAGUAUCCGGAAGCUCCCUCCAUAUGCGUAGCACCACACACAAGGGGAUCAUGACACGGACGCUUCUUCUAAGGAAACCCCAGCUCCUGCUCACAAAAGACCUGUAGGCCAAGUCACUUCAUUGCCUGCAACGAGAACAGGGUGGAAAAGCAAAUUUUUUUACUAUUUAUUUUUUAAUAUUUUACAUCAGAGUAUCACUGGACGAUUGUUGAAAAAAAUAAAUAAAGUUUAUCAUUUUGUGGUGUUGA